GCUUGACCACCAGAGCUCGCCUGGUGCAUGAAAGAAAACCAGUGAAGAGGGAGACAUGUGUAAAUAUGUGGGCAUAUAGCAUAGCCGGUAGGGCACGGCGAUUUGGUACAAAAGGAAACACAAACAUGAGUGCAAUUAAGUAGUUAUAAGCAUAUUAUAGUUGUUUGUUUCGGAAGACAUACCUUGGGGUUGUAGCUUGAAGGAGACCAGUACUGAGCUUCGAAGUAAGGUAGUUAGAAAGAAUCUAAAUAAUAUGCUGGCCUGCAGACUAAGUAAAUAGCAUAGUAGGAAUCAAAGAAACCACAAUGUUCUUGAACAGAAAGAUCUCCUAUAGGCCAUCAUACAUUCAUAGUUAUUGUCAUGAACGAAAAGUCCAUAUAAACCUUGCAAAAUACACAAGACCUGUAGAGCAGCCUACUCAUAGCCAUUCAUAAAACCACACCCAGCCGAGCUCGGAAAAAAUCUCUUUGUGGCACUGGAGCAGAACCGUCCCCUGGGAGCUCGAGUUCUACACCAGCAAGAACAGAACCGUCGUCUACAACCUCACACAGACACGAAAGCGAUGGCAAAGCACACCGAGCUACUUCAGUCUCCAAAACAAGUAUAACAACGGAAACAAGUGCAUAGAUCCUGCUCACACGCAUACAUGAACUGUAAGUAGCAAGAGAACGAACAACACACAAUGCCCUGCCGUAUCCGAAAUAUUUAAACGAUCAGCAUGGCAGACACCAUAAUAAUAUUUAAACGAUCAUGAAGGCAUAUAGCAUGAUAUAGCAGAUAGUGAAAGUAAAGCGCACACACAUGUAAAAAGGAGAACAACAAACCUUGGCGAGUCGAACGGAGACGUAGCGGCAGAAGAGAUCGCAUCCUACGAAACGCACAGAAAACAACCGAUAAGAACACAACGAUACACAGGCAAGCAAUAAACAUGCAUGAGGCCAUAUAUGCAUUUUGUUAUGGAAUGGUCCGAAUCAUAAAUACCCUACCAGGAAAGGAACUCACACAAUCAGGAUUAUACACCAAGAGGAAGGACUAAAGGAAAAAAUGAAGUCAAUAAAAUAUUAACACAUAAAGGUCAAUCAGUACUAAGAAAAGGGGUCGGCAAUAGAUGUACAGCCAAACUGAACUGAAUUUUGGGGCUAAAUGGCACGAACACAUCUAUUUAACUGUUGCAACACUUUGAGUUGAAAACAAAAGGGUGGCUCAUUAACUAAUUAAUGCAGGAAACUACUAUCACUAUAUAUCAAUAACCAUCACCAGGCUCCAUAUGUAUUAUUGGUUGGACUAUACAAAAUGUGAAAUAUGGUAUUGUCUAUUGUGAUUCAACAACUGGGAUUCUAAC
rnacentral:lncRNA from 1 species